GUACCUUCAACGGAAAUGCAGAGCAAGAUCUGCUAUAAAUAUCCCUGAUGAAGAUAAUCAAACACUGUAGCCACGUGACUUCCUAUUUUUCCUUCACUGUGAUUUACAUCUAUGCCACGUUCUUGGAGAUCCACCUACUCCUGUUUAUCGCUGCAAAUUCCCGGACACCACGUCCUCCUGAAUGUGUCUUCAAAUAUCAAGAAUCUCGGAGCAGCUUACCUAAUUCUAGUCACCUUGUGUUGACCCACCCUGACCACUCUUGGUUUCCCAAAUGCAGGGACCAGUGUUGUGGCACAACAGGUUAAGCUGCUGCCUGCAAUACUGGCAUCCAAUAUCAAUGCUGGUUCAAGUACUGACUGCUCAACUUCUGAUCAAGCUCCCUGUGCCUGGGAAAGCAGCAGAAGAUGGCCCAAGUGCACCUGGCUCCUGGCUUCAGCCUGGCCUAGCCCCACCAUUGUGGGCAUCUGGGGAAUAAACCAGUUAUGUCUCAACAUAACUCUUGCUUCUACUUCCUAUCCAGCUCUCUGCUAUGGCCUGGGAAAGCAGUAGAAGAUGGCCAAAAUCCUUGGGCCCCCGCACCUGCGUGUUAGACCCGGAAGAAGCUCCUGGCUUCGGAUUGGCGCCACUCCGGCCGUUGCAGCCAUCUGGAGAAUGAAGCAGCAGAUGGAAGACCUCUCUCUCUCUCUCUCUCACUUUCUCUCUCCCUCUCUCCCUCUUUCCCUCUCCCUCUCCCUCUGCUUCUCUGUAAC